UGUAAAAUCAUCCAAAUAUGUGCCGUUUAAGUAUUUGCUUUGUUUUGGUUUUAGUUCUUCUCAAUGUAGGCGUAUCAUUAGCAGGAGUCCGGAAAGCUCGGUCUCCACAAUUUGGUGGAGGUUCCUCACAGCCAGGCUUUGGAAAAAGUGGUUUUGGCGGACCCGGAUUUGGACAGGGUGGAUUUGGACAGGGUGGAUUUGGACAGGGCGCAUUUGGACAGGGUGGAUUUGGACAGGGAGGAUUUGGACAGGGCGGAUUUGGACAGGGCGGAUUUGGACAGGGAGGAUUUGGACAGGGCGGAUUUGGACAAGGCGGAUCUGGGCAUGGCGGAUUUGGACAGGGCGGAUUUGGACAGGGUGGAUUUGGGCAGGGUGGAUUUGGACAAGGCGGAUCUGGACAUGGCGGAUUUGGACAGGGUGGAUUCGGUCGACGUUUUUGAAUGAAAUAAAUGUUUUAUUGUUACUGUUA